GGAGCUGGGGCCGGAGCAGGAGGACAAGCCGUGAGCCUACGUACACCACACGCCUCUGCUCCCUCCGGUCAGGGGGGAUGGUAACGCUGCUGUGCUGCAGGUGGAUAUUGUGAAGGCAAACCACAGAAAUGACAAGGCUCAGAUACCGCUGCCACGGGUCUGACGGCACCUGAAUAAAAGCUGCUGAAGUACACCCAGCUCCUUGCAUGGAAAGCCGAGUCCUGCUGUUCCUGAUGGAAUCUUCCUGUCACUGCCAGAAUCUUUUCAAGAGCAAUUUCUCCAGACCUGAAUCUGUGCCCAUUGAAAGCAAAGGGAAAUAUUCUUAUUGAUGGCAGCAGGCCCAAAUAAGUCAGAGGUCUAGGCUGUCUUUGCCAGAAAAUUUUGUUUAUGUGCAUUUUGAUGACUUCUAAAGCUCCUCUUUUGUAGUUGACUUUCUUAUGGAGCUUACUUUUCAGUGAAUUUUUUCCAGACGUUUCACAUACUGUAUAAAGUGGGGUUGACAUGUUUCUGUUCCUGAUUCAGCACAGAAGACCAUUUUAUCAGAUUAAUUUUUUAGAGACCUGCUUUAGUCAGGGUGCACUGUGAAGUACAUGCAAUAUUAAAACAUUCUGCUGUC